AGUUGGUUCAAUAUGAUAAAAACAAAGGACUUAUUAACUAUAAGUGGAUUAAUGAGGUAGGGGCUCCAGCAAGUGAGAAAAGAAGUCUUAAGAAAAAUGCAAAUUCUCAACUAGUUUUAUUUACAAGUUACACAGAAGGUGGAGUGUGUUGCUCUCAGUAUGCCAUCUCAAGCUGUGUGCAUUCAUUAUAUCUUUGUUAUGUGGGCCCAUUGCCUCUGGAGAUAUGACAUGCAGACUAGCCGAGAGACCCAGAAUUGUGUUCAGCAAGCGCUUGUGGUGAAUAAUAGAUAGAAUCUAUUUGUUGGGCCCUUAUAUCCAGUUUGCCAUCACAAGCCUCAUUGUGAUCUCCUGCAUGGCAAGUGGAUGCAGUUGAGGUCUUGCUCCAGUCUUGGAGAUGGCAAUGGCUGCUGUGAAAUCUCGAAAUCUCAUCCAAUAUGGCGCUGACUAUUUGUGCCGCUACAAAUUCUACAAAUUUAAUUUAUUUUUUCAUUCCUCUGAGAUUAAUAAAAGUACCAGUAAU
rnacentral:lncRNA from 1 species